AUUGAACGCUGGCGGCAGGCUUAACACAUGCAAGUCGAGCGGAGAUGAGGUGCUUGCACCUUAUCUUAGCGGCGGACGGGUGAGUAAUGCUUAGGAAUCUGCCUAUUAGUGGGGGACAACAUUCCGAAAGGAAUGCUAAUACCGCAUACGCCCUACGGGGGAAAGCAGGGGAUCUUCGGACCUUGCGCUAAUAGAUGAGCCUAAGUCGGAUUAGCUAGUUGGUGGGGUAAAGGCCUACCAAGGCGACGAUCUGUAGCGGGUCUGAGAGGAUGAGCCGCCACACUGGGACUGAGACACGGCCCAGACUCCUACGGGAGGCAGCAGUGGGGAAUAUUGGACAAUGGGCGGAAGCCUGAUCUAGCCAUGCCGCGUGUGUGAAGAAGGCCUUUUGGUUGUAAAGCACUUUAAGCGAGGAGGAGGCUACCUGGAUUAAUACUCUAGGAUAGUGGACGUUACUCGCAGAAUAAGCACCGGCUAACUCUGUGCCAGCCGCCGCCGUAAAAC
rnacentral:rRNA from 1 species